UGAAUAUGUAAGCUUUGUUACUUUCCAUCAAUGUGUGAUGACUUGUUACUUUCCAUCAAUGUGUGAUGACUCUAAGUAGCUUUGGUGGUUCUCUUUCUUCCUUGUAAUUUAUUGAUUUUUAUUUUAUUUUUUCGGAAAAAUCAAUUUCAUUAACAAAGGAAAACUGUACCCAAAAAAAAAAAAGAAGGCCCAAUCCAGGCCAAGAAGCCCAACAGGCCCGAAGGCAAACCAGGAAAUUAAAAACAGCCCACCACCAACUGUCCUUUAGACCGUUGCAUCAGCAACAAUUUGAAAAGAAUGAUGUUGGGGCAAGGUUCAAAUCAACAAAAACAGAGCUUGGGAGACUCCAAGCUGCAGCAAUGGCCCUUGAAACUCUUACACAUCUUGCAGGAGAGCAGUGGGUUGCGACUUGCGAAGACGGUUGAAGAUGAGUCCCAGCACAGUGCCAGGAGAAGCUUGUUUAUUUGAGCAGGUUGAUAGUAAGAGUGCUACUUUUGACUUUCUGAACGCAAACCGCAUGGUUUUUUGAGACUGUUGCUGGUCUUCUUGUUAGGCAGAUUUCAGGAUUAGGAUAUGAUUUACUUGAAUUGUUAUAUUGGUUCACUUCACUGUUACUCAACAACUAUGCUUAUUUUUAGCCAGGUAUUUCUUGUAACCUUUGUUGUUGUUAAUAUUGCUUCAUUUGUGACCUCGUCACAUGCUAUCUUGGAGUCUGAUUUCUCCAACUCAUUAUGAGUUAAUUCCUCAUUUCCAUAUAACUCAAAUCAUUCAUAGGAACUAUACAAUAUAUAUUCUCCUUUCAUAGGGACAAGGAGGAUAAUAUUUUUAACUUCUGGGAAAAAAAAGAAGAAGAAGAUGAUGAAUCAUAGUCGUAGUUUUGCAUUGAUUCUGUGUAAAAUAGUUAAUGUAGAUAAGUCCCCUUGAAUUGAGUGUAGAAGACAAAUCUGAGACAUCUGAAAGUAACCAGAGCCUCAAUCUAACCCACCUGUCUUGUUAGGAUUUAUUGCUAGUUAACUUGCACUGAUGGCACACUUAAAACAGAUUAAGUUACACGUAAAGUAGGUCCAACACCUGAUGAAGGACUAAGAAAUUAACAAAAAUGUUAACUACCAAAAGAAGAUUAAGACCCAACAUACAAUAAGUUCAGCCCCAAACGCCUUUAGAUGAUUGAGACAUUUGAAGUUGUUACUGACAGUAGUUAGAAAUCCCCGUCAGACAUGCUAUUUGUGUCAACAUGUAAGGCUGCAAGUUGGGCAGGCCCAACCCAGCCCGGUCCCAACCCGAAGUCGGGUUGGGUUGGACCAACCCGAUGUCAAACAAAACUGGGCUCUACCAAUAACCCAAACCCAAAUGUUUUCAGGUCGGACGGGCUAACCUGUUCAACCCUUUUUCUUUUUCUUUUUUUUAAAGAUAUACAAAUUACAUUUGUUUCUUUUCUUAGUUUGAAACAUCAAUUUUUUUUGACAAAUUUUAAUUUAUUAAUAUAUAUAUAUAUAUACAUAUAUAUUUUCGAUUUGAUUAAAUGGUUAGUAUUGUGACUAAAGUAUUCAAUUAUUAAUUUUUUUGUGUACUUCCAACUCUAAUUUUAUUUUAAAUAUAAAAAUAAAAAACUUUUUCUUUUUAUUUGUUGAAAAAUAAAUAAAUAAAUAAAAUAAAAGAAAAAGUUUUUCUUUUUAUUUGUUAUUAAAUCAUUUUAAAUUAUGACAAUAAUAAUAAUAAUAAUUUUUAUUUUAAAAUUAUUAUUAAAAAAAAAAAAAAAACCCUAAAACAA